AAAAGAAGCAACAGUCGGGCCUCCUUCCAUGGAACCCUAGCAUAGGGUCCUGCCGCCGCCCCUCGUCUCGCCCCUGCGAGUAGGGCGUGGUCGCCCUCCUCCUUCCAGAUCGCCUCCAGCCGGGCGUGGUCUUGGAGCGCCGCCGCCGAUGUUUCCCAGCGCAUCAAGAAGGAUCUGCCGCAGCAGGACCCGUGCAAGUUGGCUCUGGGGCGGAGGUUUCCGUACAAACUGUUGCAGGAGCGCAGGGGAGGGGCACUCGAGCAGUCGAGCGUGGCAGGGAGAGGAGGGACCACAAGUCGCGGCGGCGGCCAUAAAGGUCAUCUUGCCGGGCUGGAGCACCUCCGCCGCGUCAUGGCGCACAACCAGCUGCCGGCCGUCGGGAUGCAGGGGAGGGCCGAUGGUGGUCGCGGUGUCGAGGAGACCGGUGUAUUAGGAAGAUGCGCUUGAGAUUGAGGUUGAACAGAUCCAGGCCCACGAGCGCCGCACCACCUGCUCCGGCAAGCGCCCCCGCACUGACCCUGUCCCACUCUCCCAAUUCAACGACAACCAGCUCAUCUCAGCCUGCUGGAGUGGACGAGCCAGGUCAGGGAAUCGGCAAACGGGUAUUUUCUGGCUGCAACUACGGGGGGCGGGGAGGCGACAGAGGCACGGUACAAUCCUGCCUGUUUUUCCUCCGCAGGGCGGCGCAACGCUGGGGCAUCUGGCUCUUCUUCCUGCCCAGGGGCAUGACAAGGAGAGAGAAGAACCGUUCGCGGCACUUCUACAGAAAGGACUGCAUGUACUGGACACUUGAAUGGAUGCCUCAUUCGACAGAUAUUGUCCUAACUGAUCAUCAGUAAGUUUAUGCUAAUCUUUUGGCACUGAAUGCUCCUACUAUUUUUCCAGUAUAGAACGCCUUGUUACCGUAGCAACGUUUCAAUAUUUCAACAUAUGUACGCAAGAUCUGUCUAUCAUUCUCAACUUGCUAUUUGAAGAUUUCAACAUGGACAGCUUAAAUUUCCUCCUAUUGCAAGUAUGUUGGUGUUGCAACUUUUGGGAACACUGGUCCGAUGUGCUUCUUUACAUCGAAACAACAUGAUGCCUAAGAAACUAUAUGGCUUAUAUCUAGGAACGGAGGAAGUUUAUAAGUAAUAUAAUGGAGGGAUUCAUCUUCAGCUCUAAUCAAUAUCCAGGUUUUCUGAACAUGGAGGAUAGAUCCACGCUGUGAUUGGAGCAGGCAGGAAAACGGAGUAGAGGGAUGCUGCAUUGGCUUGUGUCCGGAGAGAUGUCUAAACCACUAAAAAGGAUUGACCUAUAACUGCAACAAGUGGCUCUUCGUUAAGGACCCCAUAAAUUUGUGGUUGUUGCUUCUGGGGGUAUUUAAUACAGGACAAGGUUGGGUGUCGAAGAACUUGCGGAGAAAUGUGCUGGUGUGUGCGCCAUUUUGUGUUGGAUAUACAAUUGCCUUUGGUUUUGGGAACAUUGUCAGGGGCUAAGGGAAGGUUGUGGCGGCUUCCCAAAACUUUUGUGGCCCCUGGUAAUCUUUUUUUUCCUUUUAUCGUCUUAUUUAUUCCUUGAAGUAAUAUAUUUCAAUUUUGUUAAUCAAACCGAGGAGUAAAUCCAUGAAACAAGUGAUUUCAAAAUCACAUAUUUGCGAA